UUAUGCGCGCGCGGUGUAAAUCGUUUCCAGCGCUCCGUAUCCGUCGUCGUCUUGCCCCGCUUGCGUGCCGGUAGUAAAAUCGUUUGCGCGCGCGCCCGCUUGUUCGCUUGAGUGUUAGUGUGUGUAUACUGUGUAUGCGUGCGCGCUGUGUGUGAUAACGACCGACCGACCGACAGACACACUUUGUUCUAUUCGUGUUCGACGCGCGCGAUGCGUCCGAUCUCGUUCGCCGUCACCGCCGUCGUCUGAAUUCGAUCGCGCUUUUUCCUGAUUUUUUUUUACAAAUUUUUUUACAUUUUUUUUCCACGUAUCUCGCCCAUAGUCGCGCACGCACACUCUCGUACUCGAGCAACGGCCGUCUGUCUUUCAAAUAUUAUACACCGGUCUGUGGUUUUUUGAAAAAAAAAAAACAACAUCAACAACAACAACGAUAAUAAUUUAAUAAUAAAACCGAUAUAGUAAAAACCACACAGCUUUUGGCCCCGCAUGCCGCAACAUGUCCUACCGCUCGCUGGCCGCCGACCGCGUGUACAAAGCGACCACGGACGACCUGCAGCCGGAGCGGAAGAACUCGGUCGGUACGGUUUUUAAAAAGGCUUUCGGCACGCUAAGCUCCAGCCCCCGGCGCAGGCUGUCCGAGCCGCUUAUGUCCGGCGUGCCCGUAAUCGGCACCGGAAACAUCAACACGCCGCUCAGAAAAAUGCCCACAUCUGCCAUAUCCGAAGAAGCGUCGCUGCUCAGUGGCAUGCGGUCGGAGACUUUGGAGGAAGUGGAACUUACCGGCGUCCGUCCGUCGUUACCUGCCGUCCGGACGUUUACCAGGGGCAACACCGGUGUGGAAGAGGUGUACGUGGACACCGACAACGGGCCGGUGUGCGUGGCCGUGCAGGGCGAUCGGUCCAGGCCACCCAUACUCACUUACCAUGACUUAGGACUGAACUACGUCACAAGCUUUCAGACAUUCUUCAAUUACAGUGAAAUGCGCACCCUCAUGUCAAAUUUCUGCGUAUACCACGUGAACGCACCCGGACAAGAAGAAGGAGCAGCACCGUUAUCGGACGAUUACGUUUUUCCUAGUACAGACGAGUUAGCGAACCAGUUAGAUCACGUUUUAAGAUAUUUUGGUUUGCAAUCGAUCGUCGGACUUGGAGUGGGAGCUGGUGGGAACAUUUUGGCACGGUUCGCUUACAGACAACCAACAAAGGUCGAAGCGCUGUGUCUGAUCAACGUGGUGUCAACGCCGGCCGGUUGGAUCGAGUACGGUUAUCAAAAAUUGAACAGCAGAUACUUGAAAUCCAAAGGCAUGACACAAGGGGUGAUGGACUAUUUGAUGUGGCAUCAUUUUGGAAAAGGAACCGAGGAGAGGAACCACGAUCUGGCCAGAGUGUACCGAGAGUACUUCGAGCACAGCGUCCACCCGGGCAACCUGGCCGCAUUCAUCGACUCGUACGUGAGACGGACAGACCUGGGCAUCAGCAGGAGUACGCCCACGUCCGAGUCAUGCCCAGCCGGCCGCAGGCUCAGCAUGGCCACCACGUUGCAGAUGCCAAUCAUCAACGUGUGCGGAGCUCUGUCGCCGCACCAGGAGGACACGGUGACGCUCAACUCGAGACUGGAUCCGACCAAGUCGUCGUGGAUGAAGGUAUCCGACUGUAGCAUGGUGCUGGAAGAGGUACCACAAAAAAUGUGUGAAGCGCUGCGGCUUUUCUUGCAAGGACUCGGUUACGCUGUGAGACUCGGCCGGCCACCGUUGACCGUAUCCAGAUCGGCUGAAGGUAAAAAUGUACUAGCUAAUGCAUUUAGCGCACGGAUGCACGAAUAGUUAGCGCACGCACACACACACGUUACACUUUCACACACACGUUACACUCUCUCUCACACACACACACACACACGCGCACACACACACACACAAACCGAAUACACCCUCCUACCUACCGGGCAAAUUGAUCGACUAAAAGUAUAUCAGCUUCGAAAAACGAAAUUUGUAACACUGAUAUCGAAAUCCAUAAGACAGUCCACGUCCAAAGACAGCGUUCGCAGCUCGCCGUGGCCUUUCAGAAUCACCGAAAACCCGCUGACGGCAUGAUGACAUGAUACGUGUAAGGCGAUUAUGUCAUUAGAGUGCGCAGGUCGUUUGGCGGCGAGGCGGAAGGUUGGUGCUAUAGCAACAGUUCUACAAUAAUAAUAUUAUAGGUAUACGCAUAUAUAUAUGUAUUAUAUAUACAUAAAAUGACAUAAAAUGUGCACUCGUCUGGUUUCGCGACGUGGGCGAGCAUCGCAAGUGAGCCUUUGAAAAAAAAAAAUGUCAAAAAUAAACCAGAACCGUUUAACCGUUUAGUACCUAUAUAGUCGAAAAAGGACAAAUACAUAAUAGUAUUAUUGUAUAGUUUAUAAUAGGUAUAAUAUUAUAUAAUAUAAAUGGUCAGGCUAGUUUGUUUUUUUAGACGAUUUUAUAUCUAUAUAUAUAAUAUAUGUAUAUAGUGUAUACCUAAAUAUAAUAUUAUAAUAAUAAACAGUUAUAUAUGUAAUGACGUUAGGGAUAUUGAGACUCAUAUCAUCAAAAAAAGCUUCAGAUGUAGUUUUUGCUAAACGGAGAAAAAAACUCCGUACAUAUUGUUAUGUUUAGGUACGCCUAAAAAUUAAAUUAAAUUAAUAUAUUAUUAUAAUAAUAAUCGUUAAUGAAUAAUAAGAAAAAAAAAUGACGAGAUUAACGAGUUAGUUUAAUAGACUGCACAAACACCUGCGCUUUUUUAUUGUUUUUUUUUUAUUUAUAUUUUACGUUGUUGAUUAUUGAUGUUAAUAAUAGUUUGUUAAGUGUUGCUGUUAUUUAAUCAGAUAUAUUGUACACAUCGCGGAUUUUAUAUACCGUUCUGUAUGAUAUAAAGAUGGAUUGUGAUAAGUAACAAUAUAACAAUGAAAUUUAUAACUAUACAUAUUUGUAAUUUUAAUUGUUGCAUAUGUCUUUAAAUAAUUAUUUACAUUGAUUAUACGCC